AUACGGAGGGUGCAAGCGUUAUCCGGAAUCAUUGGGUUUAAAGGGUCCGUAGGCGGACUAAUAAGUCAGGGGUGAAAUCCCACAGCUUAACUGUGGAACUGCCUUUGAUACUGUUAGUCUUGAGUUAUAUGGAAGUAGAUAGAAUGUGUAGUGUAGCGGUGAAAUGCUUAGAGAUUACACAGAAUACCGAUUGCGAAGGCAGUCUACUACAUAUAUACUGACGCUAAUGGACGAAAGCGUGGGGAGCGAACAGGAUUAGAAACCCUAGUAGUCCC
rnacentral:rRNA from 1 species